rnacentral:rRNA from 1 species
AACGAACGCUGGCGGCAUGCCUAACACAUGCAAGUCGAACGAGACCUUCGGGUCUAGUGGCGCACGGGUGCGUAACGCGUGGGAACCUGCCCUUAGGUUCGGAAUAACUCCCCGAAAGGGGUGCUAAUACCGGAUAAUGUCUUCGGACCAAAGAUUUAUCGCCUUUGGUUGGUCCCGCGUUGGAUUAGCUAGUUGGUAGGGUAAAAGCAUACCAAGGCGACGAUCCAUAGCUUGUCUGAGAGGAAGAUUAGCCACACUGGGACUGAGACACGGCCCAGACUCCUCCGGGAGGGGGGAGUGGGUGACAUUGGAACGUGGGGGGAAGGAUGAUGGAGCAAUGACGGGUAAGCGCUGAAAGCCUUAAGGAUGUAAAGCUCAAGUAACUGGGAUGAUAAUGACGGUACCGAAAGAAAAAGCUCCGGCUAACUACGUG